rnacentral:lncRNA from 1 species
CUGAGAGGAGUCUCCUCCUCUUCUCUUUUGAGGUCACUCACUCAUCACAUAUGGUGAACCCUAAAACACUUUUCAGUUAUCUUCCAUAGAGCC